AGUGGGGAAUCUUAGACAAUGGGGGAAACCCUGAUCUAGCCAUGCCGCGUGAGCGAUGAAGGCCUUAGGGUUGUAAAGCUCUUUCAGCUGGGAAGAUAAUGACGGUACCAGCAGAAGAAGCCCCGGCUAACUCCGUGCCAGCAGCCGCGGUAAUACGGAGGGGGCUAGCGUUGUUCGGAAUUACUGGGCGUAAAGCGCGCGUAGGCGGACCAUCAAGUUGGGGGUGAAAUCCCGGGGCUCAACCUCGGAACUGCCUCCAAAACUGCUGGUCUUGAGUUCGAGAGAGGUGAGUGGAAUUCCGAGUGUAGAGGUGAAAUUCGUAGAUAUUUGGAGGAACACCAGUGGCGAAGGCGGCUCACUGGCUCGAUACUGACGCUGAGGUACGAAAGUGUGGGGAGCAAACAGGAUUAGAUACCCUGGUAGUCCACACCGUAAACGAUGAAUGCCAGUCGUCGGGCAGCAUACUGUUCGGUGUCACACCUAA
rnacentral:rRNA from 1 species